rnacentral:rRNA from 1 species
UCUUGAAUCUUCGGCAAUGCACUAAAGUGUGACCGAGCGACGCCGCGUGGAGGCUAAGGCCUUCUGGUUGUAAACUCCUGUCAGGAUCUAGGAAUGCAUUAGUGUUAACAGCGCUGAUGUUGACCCGAUCCAGAGGAAGCCACAGCUAACUUCGUGCCAGCAGCUGCGGUAAGACGAAGGUGGCAAGCGUUAUUCGGAAUGACUGGGCUUAAAGGGCGUGUAGGCGGCUAUGCAAGUCAGGUGUGAAAUCCCGGGGCUCAACUCCGGAACUGCGCUUGAUACUGCGUGGCUAGAGGAAGACAGUGGAUUGCGGAACUCACGGUGGAGCGGUGAAAUGCGUAGAGAUCGUGGGGAACACCCGAGGCGAAGGCGGCAAUCUGGGUCUUUUCUGACGCUGAGGCGCGAAAGCGUGGGGAUCAAACA